AACGUAGGAGACAAACGUUAUCCGGAGUUACUGGGCGUAAAGGGCGUGUAGGUGGUUGUGUAAGUUCGGCGUGAAAUUUCUCGGCUUAACCGGGAGAGGUCGUCGGAUACUGCACGACUAGAGGACGGUAGAGGCGUGUGGAAUUCCGGGUGUAGUGGUGAAAUGCGUAGAGAUCCGGAGGAACACCAGUGGCGAAGGCGACACGCUGGGCCGUACCUGACACUGAGGCGCGAUAGCAUGGGGAGCAAACAGG
rnacentral:rRNA from 1 species